rnacentral:rRNA from 1 species
CGUAGGGUGCGAGCGUUAAUCGGAAUUACUGGGCGUAAAGUGUGCGCAGGUGGCCGCGCAUGUCGAGUGUGAAAUCCCCGGGCUUAACUUGGGAAUUGCGCUCGAAACUACGUGGCUAGAGUGUGGCAGAGGAAGGUGGAAUUCCACGUGUAGCGGUGAAAUGCGUAGAGAUGUGGAGGAACACCGAUGGCGAAGGCAGCCUUCUGGGCCAACACUGACGCUCAUGCACGAAAGCGUGGGGAGCAAACAGGAUUAGAUACCCUGGUAGUCCACGCCCUAAACGAUGAUGACUAGUUGUUGGAGGAGUUAAAUCCUUUAGUAACGCAGCUAACGCGUGAAGUCAUCCGCCUGGGGAGUACGGUCGCAAGAUCA